rnacentral:rRNA from 1 species
UACAGAGGGUGCGAGCGUUAUUCGGAAUUACUGGGCGUAAAGCGUGCGUAGACGGUUCUGUAAGUCGGAUGUGAAAUCCCCGGGCUCAACCUGGGAAUUGCAUUCGAGACUGCAAAGCUUGGGUGCGGAAGAGGGAAGCGGAAUUUCCGGUGUAGCGGUGAAAUGCGCAGAUAUCGGGAAGAACACCCGUGGCGAAGGCGGCUCUCUGGGACGGUACUGACGCUGAGACGCGAAAGCGUGGGGAGCGAACAGG